CAAAAAUAUUCACUGAUACAACACAGGUGGGUCACUAGGCUCUCUAACCACCUGGAAUCUCAGGUAACAACACCUGGAAUCUCAGGUAACAACACCUGGGAACUCAGGUAACAACACCUGGAAGCUCAGGUAACAACACCUGGGAACCCAGGUAACAACACCUGGAAGCUCAGGUAACAACACCUGGAAGCUCAGGUAACAACACCUGGGAACUCAGGUGACAACUUCACCCUAAUUGGUAUCCUUUAACCUCUAAUAUUUAUAUUUAUCAUUUAAUUAUGCAGUAUGUCAAAGAUAUUUACAUAUAAUAUGAGCUAGUCUUCUCCAUACAACUGUGAAGUAAGUA